UACAGAGGGUGCAAGCGUUAAUCGGAGUUACUGGGCGUAAAGGGCGCGUAGGCGGUUAUUUAAGUUUGAUGUGAAAUCCCUGGGCUUAACCUAGGAAUGGCAUUGAAUACUGAGUAGCUAGAGUACUGUAGAGGGUAGUGGAAUUUCCGGUGUAGCGGUGAAAUGCGUAGAGAUCGGAAGGAACACCAGUGGCGAAGGCGGCUACCUGGACAGAUACUGACGCUGAGGCGCGAGAGCGUGGGGAGCAAACAGG
rnacentral:rRNA from 1 species